GGGCCGUUAGCUCAGUGGUAGAGCAGGAGCCUUUUAAGCUCUUGGUCGUGGGUUCGAAUCCCUCACGGCUCACCA
rnacentral:tRNA from 1 species